AGAGGAGGAUAUCUCCCUGAGGAUCAGGUCAAGAAAACAAUUACAGAUCACAGAGCACAGACCCUGGAUCCAAAAAAACUGUCAAAGGAAGGUUGGAACAAGGUUCUUAUGGAGUCAGAUGAACACCGGAUUGGACGGGAACAGACACGUGAAUGAUGUUGGACAGCAUGAAUGAAGCUGACAAGUCCAUGGAAAAUGGACACCUGAAUGAAUGAUGCUAGUGGGGAGAAACAGAAGGGAAGACCAACACACAACUACACAGGCACAGCCAUAUGCAUACAUACAGUACACACAUGUUCCUAUGGUGUACGUAACACCAGGAGAGAGGAAGACAUCCCCCAGAGGAUCAAGCCGAAGAUAUCUCCCAGGGAUUUCCAAGCCAAGAUAUGGACCUACAGAAGGAGGCGGUUUGACAAAGACCUGCCCACUCUGGAGGGAAUUCUGCUCCACCCUUGGCUGCAGUGGUCCAUCCCCUCCCCUUCACCUCUGGGACACACCAUGGGUCGGUGUGCAGCUCAUCCACUGCCUCA